GGCCGGGUAACGACAUUGCCGCGCGCCAACAUGAAAGCGCCCGGCGUUUUGCUGUGCCUGUUUGUCGCGGCCCUGGGCCCCGGCGCCCGGGCCGGCGACCAAAACGAUCUGUCCGACAACGUCCGAUGCCCGUGGCUGUGCACUUGCGACCAAUCGACGGCCGACUGUUCCAAAAAAGGCCUGGACGAAGUGCCCAAAAAUCUGCCCUUCGACAUCGAACGACUGUG